UGGGUAACCUGCCUCAAAGAGGGGAAUAGCCUCCCGAAAGGGAGAUUAAUACCGCAUAAUAUGUUUUGGUCACAUGGCCUUAACAUCAAAGGAUUUUCUUCGGAAAUUCCACUUUGAGAUGGACCCGCGGCGCAUUAGCUAGUUGGUGAGGUAACGGCUCACCAAGGCAACGAUGCGUAGCCGACCUGAGAGGGUGAUCGGCCACAUUGGAACUGAGACACGGUCCAGACUCCUAGGAGG
rnacentral:rRNA from 1 species